AUAACAGUGACCUUUGAACAACUGUUUCCACACAGUACCAUCUUUAUACGGCCGUGCCCCACACUUGAAAGAUUCAUACCCCGUGCGCCCUGCUGUGUAUACGCUACUCUAUACUGCUAUGACAACCUCUGUUAGCUAUUGGACAGAAAUUUCAACACUUCCAGCUUAGCAGGAUAUCUCCCAUGGCAGUGCAUUAAUUGGAAGAGCUGAGGGACGCUCUGUAUCAGGCUGAUGGCCAGCACUUAAGGGUUCAUACCCUGUGCACCUGAGGUGAGGCCCCUACUAUAUGUGCGCUGCACUGUGCUACUGAGUGGAGACAGGCUGCUACAGCCUCUUAACUGCUGGGUAUGAUCUCCAGGACAGACUCCCAAAAGGAAUAUCUCCCAUGACAGUGCAUUAAUUAUUGAAAGAGCUGAGAGAAGCUCUCUAUCAGGCUAAUGGCCAGUUCAUAC